rnacentral:tRNA from 2 species
AGGGGCAUGAUGUAAUUGGUAACAUGGCAGUCUCCAAAACUGCUCUCGAGGGUUCGAGUCCUUCUGCCCCUGCCA